rnacentral:rRNA from 1 species
AUUGAACGCUGGCGGCGUGCUUAACACAUGCAAGUGGAGCGACGAACUAGGGCUUGCCCUGGGGCAAAGCCGCGAACGGGUGAGUAACACGUGGGUAACCUGCCCCGAUGACCGGGACAACCCGAGGAAACUCGGGCUAAUACCGGAUGUGGAACCCUCACAUAAGUGAGGUUUCUAAAGGUAGCUUCGGCUUCCGCAUUGGGAGGGGCCCGCGGCCCAUUAGCUUGUUGGUGAGGUAACGGCUUACCAAGGCUUCGAUGGGUAGCUGGUCUGAGAGGACGAUCAGCCACACUGGGACUGAGACACGGCCCAGACUCCUACGGGAGGCAGCAGUGGGGAAUCUUGCGCAAUGCGCGAAAGCGUGACGCAGCAACGCCGCGUGGGGGAAGAGGGCCUUCGGGUUGUAAACCCCUUUCAGGAGGGACGAAGGUCACACGGUUAAUAGCCGGCGUGGCUGACGGUACCUCCAGAAGAAGCCCCGGCUAACUACGUGCCAGCCGCCGCAGUAACAC